rnacentral:rRNA from 1 species
AUUGAACGCUGGCGGCAUGCCUUACACAUGCAAGUCGAACGGCAGCACGGGAGCAAUCCUGGUGGCGAGUGGCGAACGGGUGAGUAAUAUAUCGGAACGUGCCCAGUCGUGGGGAUAACGUAGCGAAAGCUACGCUAAUACCGCAUACGAUCUAUGGAUGAAAGCGGGGGAUCGCAAGACCUCGCGCGAUUGGAGCGGCCGAUAUUAGAUUAGGUAGUUGGUGAGGUAAAGGCUCACCAAGCCGACGAUCUGUAGCUGGUCUGAGAGGACGACCAGCCACACUGGGACUGAGACACGGCCCAGACUCCUACGGGAGGCAGCAGUGGGGAAUUUUUGGACAAUGGGCGCAAGCCUGAUCCAGCAAUGCCGCGUGCAGGAUGAAGGCCUUC